GGUAGGAAGUCUCCUCCUCCUUCCUUCCCUCCUUCUAGAAACAUUUGUGACUGCUUCCUGGGUGCCAGCCUCUAGGCUGAGACCAGAAAGUUGGGAGAAGCCUGAAGUCUGUACUCUCAAGUGCCUUACUGGGGACUGCAGUCGGGGAUGAAAAGGGGGGAAGGGGACCACCUAUUUGAGCAUGUGUGAAAUUGCCAUAGAGUGUACGCCCAGAGAAUAAUGGGAACAUAGAAACAGGUGUUAAAUCAUCCUGGAAAUCAAGGCAGGCUUCCCAGAAGAGGCUGCAUUUGAGUUAUGAAACUGAGCAGGCAUCAGGAAGAAUGAAGAAACAUUGGCAGGGGCAAGAUAUAAAUGUCUAUUGCUGCAGAAAGGAGGAGCGAAGGUGAGGGGUCACGUCCUGGAGGAUGCCAAGGAGUGAGACUACAAAUUUCUUACCAGCUGAGCUCUGCGAUUUGACCUUUGGAAGUAGCUCUCCAACUGAACAGGAAGAAAGUCACAAAAGUGGCUACAAUUCAAGACAAUAUAUGGUAAGCUGGAUUUGAAAGAGUCACAGAAAAGUGAGAUAUCACUUCCAAAUAGGGUAAACAGAAACUCUUUAGGGCAGGGUGGGCUUGGGCCCUGCGAAAUGGAAUGGACAUAUUAAGAUGCAUAUUUUAGAAGAAAACCAACUAAAUGCUCUAGAAAAAUUUGAAAACCCAGCAAAGCAUAAAGAAUAAGAUAGAAACCUUCUAUAGACCAACUACCUACAGAUACAUUGCAAGACAUACAUGUUUAAUGACUAUUUGUAAUAUGAAUAAAUGAAUAAAUGACAUUACCAUUUUUGUCUAUUUUUUCCUCAUGCAUAUUUUUACUAUACACAUAAUUUUGGAAACUGCUUUUUGAAAACAUCAUAUGAUACUCAUAUCAGUAAAAUUAUUUGAAAAUACAUUUUUAAACAGCGAAAGAAUAUUUCCAUUAAUUGAUAUAUCAUUCCUGCAACCAAUUUCAUAGUGUUCACUUAUAGGUUGUUCCUAAAAUUCCAAUUAUUAUAAAUAAAACUUCAAUGAAAUGGCUAAACACAAAUCUCUAUCCACACCUCUGUAUUUUCAGGAUGGAAUCCUGUAAGUGGAAUAUCAAAUCAAGAUGUAUUAACAUUUAAGAGAGCAAAACAUUGCACAAUUCCUUUCACGAAGGUUGUGCCAAUUUACAUUCCCAUUAGCAAAGUAUAAAAUUGACAUAUACAGCUCACCAAUAGUGUUAUUUUAAAAUAUUUGCUAAUCCAAUGAGGAGAAAAUAGUAAAUCAUUGUUUUUAAGUUUUCUAUGUAUUUGAUCACUAGUGAUGUACAUUUUAAGUAUGAUAAUUUCCAUUAAUAUUUCCCUUAAGUUCCUGUUUCAUAUUCUUUGACUAUUUUUCCUGGGGAAUUUGCAAAGAAUCUCCAGUUCUCUCAGUCUUGGUUCUCCCGUGGUGAUCGGUGUGUGUGCAUCUGCCACGGUAAGCGUGAUCUUAUUUUUUAAAGAUACAUUGUCACACAUUCAUUCCUCCUCCCCUUCCCUCCUUCCUGCCUUGUCUGUCUGUCUGUCUCCUUCUCACUUUCUCUCUUUCAUGACACGGUAUCUAAACACAGCCAACUCUAUACAUCUGAGUUGUUACAACACUGUAGGGAAAACUGGAGGCAUCAGAAUUAUUGAAAGGUGAUAUGUCUAGAUUGUCAAGGGGCAACUUAGUCACUGUGACCCCCUUAAAGUGCUGAUCUUAGACCCUAACUAUCUUCUGUGACCUAAGAUCAAAUUCCAGUGUUCCUCUGUUGACUCCCUAGGUUUCAACUGAAUUGCACUUUCCUGCUUUCAUGGUAUCUACUCCUGCUGAACCUGACCUGACCUGUAUUUUCCCCAGACCAAAUCUUGCCUGUCCCUGAUUACAAAGCUUAAAUGGCACCCCUUGGAUGAUGUCCUCUGAAUCCCAGAGCACACUGUAUUUCACUUACGGUACUUCCAAUCUCCCAGAUUCUCUGGUCAUUUGUGCAGGCAAUUGUCUCUUUUAUUACUUUAUUACUCCUUGAGGAGUCUACAUGAGUAGAAUCUAUGUCUUCUUCAUGACUGGAUUCCCAUAAUACAGUUAUCAGAAACCAAAAAAUGUUUUACAAAUUAAAAAAUCAAAUGCCAUUUAAUAGAAACACUAGAAGAAAAAAACCCAGCUACUUUGGAAGGGAAAACAAAACUUAAUUUUAACUGUAUUGACUGUGGUUAAUGUUAUGGACCAAACUGUGUCCUCCUUCAAGUUCAUAUGUUAAAGCCCUAAUACCCAUGUAGGGGUAUUUGGGGAUAGGGACUUCAGGGAAGUACUUAAGGUUAAAUGAGGUCAUAUGGAUGGGGCCCUAAUCCAAUAGGAAUAGUGUCCUUAUGAGAAGAAGAAGGGACACCAAAGCUCUUUCUCUCUGUCCACUUGUGUGCACGGUAAAAAGGCCAUGUGAAGACACAGUGAGAAGGCUGCUGUCUGCAAACCAGGAAGAAUUCCCCACCAAAACUUGACCAUGGAGGCACCAUGAUCUUGGACUUCCAGCCUCCAGAAUUGUGAGAAAAUAAAUUUCCAUUGUUUAAACCACUGGGACUGUGGCAUUUUGUUAUGGCAGCCUGACCUGACAACACAAAAGUAAUGGUAAGAUGUCAGGAAGAAAUGGAAGAAAAUUAGUCUAAACAAAGGAAUAUUAAUAACUCAGUCAAAGAGCUCACAGAAUCUCAUGGUGAGAACAUUUGGGGAUAGAAACAAAGGAAUAAUUGGGAAGCAUGCCUCCUUUGGUCUCAUCAUAAAAGGCACAAGAUUCUCUCUUAUUCUGCAGCUGCUGAAGUCCCCUGUGGCAGAGGAAUGAAAACUGAUAAAAAUGACAACUGGAGUCCAGGGACUAAGAAACUGAAUGGGGAUAAACAAUUAAUACUAGAUCAAAUUUAAAAUCAGCAGAGGGAAAUGAGCACUAACAUAGUAUCUCAAAACAACUGGGAAAUUGACAAGGAAAUUGCUACUGCUUCCAUUAGAGUAAGUGCAUACAUUCUUAUGUUGUUUUCUUGAAAUGAUGAAUUCUUCUUGGGCUCAUCCAUUAGCCAGGGAAAGAUGUUCCUGACUCUCUGGGGACAUUACUCAAAAGAGGCAUCAGGCCAUAACACAGAACCAUACAUGACUUCAAAACUAAAUAUUAAGGAAGACUAUAUUAGAAAGCCAAGACAGAAAGAACAACUCUCUCUGGGGUCUUAAUCAUUGUUCUCAAGUCCUUGCCAAAUAUUUUCUCAUCGUUACUUUGCAUAUUUUAAGUAUGUGUCAUGUUUUUGUAUGAACUAAAACAAAAACAGGCAAAGGGCCUUUUUAGAAUUGUACUUCUUAGAACUACUGUGACUUAAUGUCUUUUCAGUUCUUGUAUUAUAAAUGAAGAAAAAAAGGAAUGAUGAGUUGGAUGGGUAGUGUGGGUGCAGAGGGCGGCCUCCGAGAGCCCUGAGCAGCCCCACCGCCCUGCCAGCCUAGUUGACCAUCCCACCGGGAGGAGCCGCAGCUGCCGCCUCCCGCCCCGGUCGCCACCCCGCAAGCACCUGCCACCCCGCCCGCAGCGCGGCAGACACCCGGCCUGGCACCGGGGCAGCGGCCUCACGCCUGGGGCGCCUGCCGGCAGGAUGAGAAAGUCGUCGUAAGGAAGGUUUGGGGAACAGUAGAAGGAUUCAGAGUAAGAAACAGAUAUGGUUCCAUCAGCGGGAGUGACGCGAAGGAAGAUGUGCUUGUGCCUUCGCAGGACGUCAGAUGGGGAGGCUGUGGAGCUGAAGGAGAAAGCGGGGCAGAGGCAGCACAUGCACAGGCCCUGGGGCAGCUCCUUUGCCAGGCGGUGAAUACGCCGCGGGCUGUAAGCCUUAUAGACGCCCUCCACGUCCAGAGGGUCUCCACAUAGGCGCCAGCAGAAUGACCAGAAUAGUGAGUGUGGGGGGAGAAUGAGGGGUCCGAGAGCGCUCCGGGAGGCCGGGCUCCACGGCUCGGUCCCACCGCAGGCGAGGCCGCCCAGCUGCCCACGUGCGGAGACCCUGCGGGCGCGCCCCCGGACUCCAGCCCUCCUGUGCCGGCGGAAGUGACAGAGGGUGCUGACAUCCAGGCUGCAGGAGAGGGGCGGACCAGGGAGACAAUACGUCCGGGCGUACAGACCACGAUUCCGCAGGGGUCCUCCUGGCCAAACAGCCUGGAGAGGACGGCAGUGCAAAGGAUGAGGACAAUCAAGACGAGAGACCCCAGGUCAGCAGCCACCUCAAGGCAGGUACCACCUCAACCUCAGUCACCAACACGGAGGACCGGAAAACCCUAAAGCCCAGGAUGGCAAAGACGAAAGCAGCCGACCCCCGCCCCCAGCUCAGAGUUCCUCCGCUGCGGAGGCCCAGCCGUCCUGGGCUGCACAGUGCCGGCCUCCAUCCCUACCAUCUGCCGUUUUAGCUGUCCAACAAGAAGAAAUGAAUACGGAAUUCCAGCAGCAAGAAGUGAACAGAAGAUCGGAGCUGAAGACCUUAAGUGCUUGCUUUUUGCCUACUGACCAGAUAACCAGAAGUAUAUGCAUUAUCUAUGCAGUGUGGGGCUUUUAUUAUUUUUACCAAAGGAUGUCUCUUUUUGGUAAUGAAAAAUGUUUUUUUUUUAAAGCCUGUAAUGUUUUUCCAAUUUAAAGGUUUAAAUUGCUUCAUAUCUGGUGAGGUUGAUAUUUUUAAGAACCUCAUUUUUAAUUUGUAAUAAAAGUUUACAACUUGAUUCUUUUUCCAAAAAGAGUCAACAAACAACAA